CCUACUCUGGACCAAUCAGUGAUAGAAGAAUAUAAUAUAGGUCACCUGUGCUGAUCUCUGUAGGAGUGUCCUCCUCUUUGAUUGUCCUCAUC